GUACACUCAUGUCUUGCAUGCUCUUAUCCACUUUGAGCCUAUACCUAACCCAAAAGUAGAUUAGCCCCUUAAGGUCUAUGUUUCUUGGGCUUCGAGACUGAGAAGGUAGCCUACCUCCUCCUUAUGAUCCAAACCGAUCCUAGAACCUCCAUGAAUGCUUCAUAGGCUUCAAACCUUGACCUUUCCCUUGGCUAUCAAAGACUUAGGAGUACCACACCUAGGCUUACAAUUUCCAUC
rnacentral:lncRNA from 1 species